UACGUAGGAGGCGAGCGUUGUCCGGAAUUACUGGGCGUAAAGAGCGCGUAGGCGGCGCGGUACGACCGCUGUGAAAGCCCCCAGCUCAACUGGGGAGGGUCAGCGGUAACGGCCGUGCUUUGAGUGCAGGAGAGGGAAGUGGAACUCCGGGAGUAGCGGUGAAAUGCGUAGAGACCCGGAGGAACACCAGUGGCGAAGGCGGCUGCCUGGUCUGCGACUGACGCUGUGGCGCGAAAGCUAGGGGAGCAAACGGG
rnacentral:rRNA from 1 species